CUUUGUAAAAUCACAAAAGAGAAACAAAGCCUUGCAAAAAUGGCCUCUUAUUUCAAAGUUAUGCUUUUCUUAGCCUUUUUUGCUGCUUCAUGUUUAGCUCAAUCUCCAGUUCCUGCACCUAAAAUUUCUCCGGCGGCAACACCUACUCCGGUGCCGGCGCCAGCACUGUCUCCGCCGACAGCAAUCCCAUCUCCGGCACCAACAACUUCACCAACUCCAUCACCAUCUGCUUCUACAACUUCCCCAUCACCAGCUCCGGCCGGUGGUCUCGCCGGUUCUCCUCCCGCGCCUACUCCGGCUGGUGGAUCCGGUGCUUCACCGGCGGAACAGCCCUCCGCCGACAACACACCGCCACCAAACGCCGCUAACAGGGCCGUCAUUGGCGGUGCUGCAUUUGCUGGUGUACUCAUUGCUGCUGCUUUCAUGUAGAGCUGCCACGUGUCAUCACACGUGUCUUGACGGACCGAGAUUUGUUUUGUAUCUUUGUUGGGGUUGAGUAGUACUUAUCUCUUCUUUCUUUUUUUGUCUUUUAUUUUGUUUAUUUUACUUUAUAUUUUUGUCAUUUAUUUGUUUGGUACAUUGUGGUGUUUUUAUUUCUUUUUUCAUUUUUUGUUAGGGUG
rnacentral:lncRNA from 1 species